GGCACAUUUCCACUGGGAAAUCCCGCAGGUUAGCAGUGGGGGACGCGGGGCAUCAGAAGCACUGGGUGUCUUGCUAAAGGAUCUGCUGUAGCUCACCUGUAAGACAUGAGCCGCCUGCAGGAAAUCACUGGGCAAAGUUCCCUGGCCUGUGCUAUGCCAGGUGGUCAGACUAGAUGAUCAGGCAGGUCCCUUCUGACCUUGAAAUAUAACCCUCUCAGCACACCCCGCAUGGUGCACCUGGGUUCCCCACCCAAUAGCCCUGUGGCUCCUCUGCCUGGCGGGGGAUGGUAUUUCACUGCAAGGCUUCAUCUCUGAGUAGCCCAGCUCCUCAAACCAGGGCCCUGGCUCCCAAAACUCGGCCCCACCUCAGCUGGGCCACAGGUUUGUGUGUUCCUGUGCUGCCACCUAGAGCCUGCCCGGUGCAAUGUGGUGGGCGGUGCCAGCCUGCCCCAGAGCCCAGCCUGCAAACCCCACGGCGGGUGGAGAAGGGGAAUCCUGGAGCCAUGAAGAGAGUACUUAGAACAGGAAACCCAGUCCAGCUGGGUCGCGGCAGGGAUCGCUGAUGGGGACAAGCAGGCCAGAUUGCCAGCCUAAGACAAAGCUACAGGGGAGAUUUUCCUGCGUGCUGUUCAUUUCUGGGUGCACCAAACAAGCCGGUUGCUUGUGUCCAGCGAUUCCAUGAUCCUGCCCCUACCACGUGGGGUGAGACAAAUGACCCAGCGACUUCCGCCCUCAGGAAUCGGGGCCUGCUCUCCCGGGAGUCUGACCAGCGCAGUGGCCUCUAGCUGGCUGCCUGUUGGCUACACUGCCCGACUGGUGGGAAGAGUCUCAGAAGCAUUUACUGCACUAGGUCCGGUGCCCGCUGACUCCCAGCCCUGCUCCUGGCUGGCCCCAGCUUUGCCUCACUCCAGGUAACCUGGCUCUGACCCUCGGCUCUGAUUCCUGAAUUUGGCUCUGACCCUAGUUCUGACCCUUAGCUCUGAUUCUGGCUUGCUGCCUUUGGCUCUGGCACCUGCCCUCCGACUCCAGCUCUGACCCUGGGGUCAUGUUCCUGGUUACUGAUUCUUGCUCCAACCACUAGGCAUGACUGCCCACGUACCGUCUCUGACACCCGUACCUUUUCUCCAGUGGUGGGCAGCAGCAGGUUCUGAUGGGCAUGAUGUAAAAACCACCGCCGUGCUCCUAAUUGUCCAAGACUCCUCUAGAGUGGGCGUGUGCACCAUGUUAUUAUUAGCUAACAUUUACACAGCCGUAGCACCUACGAUCACAACCGGCUUGGACCCAUUGUGCUAGGCGCUGUACAAACAUAUCAUGAAGGAUGAUGCCUGCACCAUAGACCUUACAAUAACGCUGCCUUACGCCCCUCUUCCAGCUGCUGUACAGAAGACAUUCCACUCGGGGACUCCACCACACAGCCACAGCAAAGAACUUGAAGGGCAAUUUCACAAAAGCCCUGAAUUACAGACUCCUUUCCUUAGUGAAUCAGAGACAAUCUCAACUGGGGGCAUGAGCAUGGGGAGAACAUAGAGACUCCAUGUUCCAACAGAUCCCAGCGGCCUCUGUCUGCUUCUGGGCGAUGACUGUCGAGAGUUGGACAGGAAACAUUUUUCCCAUCCCAGGGAAAUUUCUGAAAUGUCAAGAAAUUUCCCAUCCCGAACCGAAUAGCUGAAAACACUGUCAGUCUGGGCCAAUCCAGCUGUUUUAUUUCAAUCACUUGGAAAUCGAUAUUGACCUUUUUAUCGUUAAAAAUUAUUUAAACUGGAAAUUAACUUACACUGGAAACCCCCAAAUUGUUUCAUAUUGAAAAAUGGAAAAUGUUAUUUUGAAACUGUCCUGCUUUGACAA